CUGCUGAACAUCAUGCUGUUCUCAGAAUAAAUCCAAAAUUACACCAAGAUAUCCUUCCCAGUUACUGAAAGCUGAUGAGUUUCUGUGUGUUUCUUCAAGAAUAGUGCUUUGUGUACAUCAACGGCCAACAACAUCAAGCACAAUAGAGCCAGGGAACACCUAUUUUCAUAGUGAAAGAAAUUUCCCAAAUAUCUUGCAACUGACCAAACAAGAUUACUCUCUUAUUCAUUGGACUGCUAUGCAUUACAGCCUACUAAGGGAGAACGAUGCAGCUAACUCAUCAAGGAAAUUUCUUGCCAUUAUUCUAUAUGCAUUGCAGAAGCCAGUUAAAAAGCAUUCCCAGUAAUCUGGUACAAGCAAAGGACCCAGCCCAGAGCAAAGGACUUCUCUGCUGUGUGCAUUUCCAGAGGGUAGGUCGAACAUUUUAUCAUUCAAUAAUAACUGAUGCUGCUGGAAACUGUACUCAGAAUUUUGUAAGAAAUUUUAUUUCAGUUCACUUAUGUGCCUCUUUAUCUAAAGAAAAACUAUUAGAUUCAAAUAUGGGAUACGCUGAUGUGAUAGGCAAAUAAUUUUGGGACCAACAUAAAGACUUACCCAUAAUGAAGUGUUUUUAGAAACGGGUUUUUCUUCAAUUUUCUGACAGAUAAUUUUGUUAGUUAUUCAAAAACAGAAAAUAGUUGCUAUGCGAUUUAGUAUAUUUAUGUACUUUCUGCCUUCAAAAUAUUUUGUAAAAGUAACGUAUAUAUGAAUUCCAGUAUUGCCAUAUUUUAGUACUGAAUUUCUUAAAUUUUACACUCAUAGCUGUAAUUAUUGUAAGCAUCAACUGUUGUGACUGUUCUGGAAUAAUUUCAGAGUUACUAUUUUAAUGGCUCAUUUUCAGUCAGAAUGAGUUCUCUGGUUUGAUGAGAGAUUAAAUAUCUCUCAAAGAGUGAAUGAGGGAAGUCUCUGUGAAUGUAUCAUCUCACACAAUCACUAUUUCAUGGUAUUUUUGUGUUGUAAAGCAUGUAAAACUUUCUAAAUAAGAAAUUGCAAAAGCAUUUUCAAUUUUUCUUGGUAUGCAAGCCAUAGUACUUCUGUAAUGUCUAUUGACUUACAUGAACAGCAUUAUAAGCAGUUUGUUGGCAAAAACACUUGAGAAAAAAAAUCACGCUUCUAGCACAGUUCUCUCUGGAGAAGCAAGAAGCUAAGCCUGAUAGACUGCUACCUCUGUAGCACAACAAGGUGGUUAUUCAUCCUCCUGUAAAAGCGGGUCUUUAGGGGCUAGUGGGCUAUACUUAAGAUCAAUAGAACUAUUGGCACAUAUUGAUUUGCUUAAUAAAUCUUGAUCCUGGCUUAUAAUAAUCA
rnacentral:lncRNA from 1 species